AUGCAGGUCUAAGUAUAAGCCGAAAUAAAGUGAAACCGCGAAUGGCUCAUUACAUCAGUUAUGGUUCCUUAGAUCUUCGGUAUCCUACUUGGAUAACCCUGGAAAUUCUAGAGCUAAUACAUGCGAAUGUAGCUCUGACCUUCGGGAAUGAGCGUUUUUGUUAGACCAAAACCAAUCAGGGAGCAAUCUCUGGCUUUUUGGUGAGUCUGAACAACCUUGAGCGGAUCGCACGGUCUUGUACUGGCGACAACUCUUUCAAAUGUCUGCCUUAUCAACUUGAUGGUAGGGUUAUGUGCCUACCAUGGUUAUAACGGGUAACGGAGAAUCAGGGUUCGAUGCCGGAGAGGGAGCCUGAGAAACGGCUACCACA
rnacentral:rRNA from 1 species